rnacentral:rRNA from 1 species
CCUACGGGAGGCAGCAGUGGGGAAUAUUGCACAAUGGGGGAAACCCUGAUGCAGCGACGCCGCGUGAGUGAAGAAGUAUGUCGGUAUGUAAAGCUCUAUCAGCAGGGAAGAAAAUGACGGUACCUGAUUAAGAAGCCACGGCUAACUACGUGCCAGCAGCCGCAGUAAGACGUAGGGGGCAAGCGUUAUCCGGAUUUACUGGGUGUAAAGGGAGCGUAGACGGCAGCACAAGUCUGGAGUGAAAUGCCGUGGCUUAACCCCGGAACUGCUUUGGAAACUGUGCAGCUAGAGUGCAGGAGAGGUAAGUGGAAUGCCUAGUGUAGCGGUGAAAUGCGUAGAUAUUAGGAGGAACACCAGUGGCGAAGGCGGCUUACUGGACUGUAACUGACGUUGAGGCUCGAAAGCGUGGGGAGCAAACAGGAUUAGAUACCCCUGUAGUC